rnacentral:misc_RNA from 1 species
AAGUCGUAACAAGGUUUCCUUCCCCCCCUUACUGAAGCCUUAGCAAUAUGCCGCGACUGUAAAGAAAGGUCCUCCCCGAGCAAAUGCUUGGGGACUGCUGGUCCGUAAGGACAACACCACUAAAUUGCGAGGCAGUGCAUUGCACAAACUUGCAGCCACUUCGAAAUGUGGUUCACAGACUAAAUAUUGGUGGGCAAGCUCUUUUGCUUGCUUCAGACAUAGUCGAGUUCCCAGAGAAAUCUUGGGCUGGAAAAACGUUCCGUAGGUGAACCUGCGGAAGGAUCAUUACCGAGUUAGGGGCCUUUGGGCUCCAAACUUCCAACCCUUUGCUUACAAACUUUUUGUUGCUUUGGCGGAGCGGGGGGAAAAAUACCACUUUCCCCCCGCUGGCUUCGGUCGGCGCGUCUCCGCCAGAGAUUUUUCAAAAACCUGCUUGAAACGUGUCAGUCUGAAGCAAAAAUUUUUUAAAUCGCAAAAA